GGCUGCAUAGUGUAGGGGUUAUCACAUCAGAUUUUGAUUCUGGGACCCCCGGUUCAUUUCCACAUUCAAUUA